rnacentral:rRNA from 1 species
CCUACGGGAGGCAGCAGUGAGGAAUAUUGGUCAAUGGACGAGAGUCUGAACCAGCCAAGUAGCGUGAAGGAUGACUGCCCUAUGGGUUGUAAACUGCUUUUAUAGGGGAAUAAAAGGUGACACGUGUGGGAGUUUGUAGGUACCAUAGGAAUAAGGAGCGGCUAACGCCGGGCCAGCAGCCGCGGUAAUACGGAGGAUACGAGCGUUAUCCGGAUUUAUUGGGGUUAAAGGGAGCGUAGGUGGAUUGUUAAGUGAGUUGUGAAAGUUUGCGGCUCAACCGUAAAAUUGCAGUUGAAACUGGCCGUCUUGAGUACAGUAGCGGUGGGCGGAAUUCGUGGUGUAGCGGU